UGUGUUGUUGGGUAGGGGAGCGUUCUGUAAGCCGUUGAAGGUGUCCUGUGAGGGAUGCUGGAGGUAUCAGAAGUGCGAAUGCUGACAUAAGUAACGAUAAUGCGGGUGAAAAACCCGCACGCCGGAAGACCAAGGGUUCCUGUCCAACGUUAAUCGGGGCAGGGUGAGUCGACCCCUAAGGCGAGGCCGAAAGGCGUAGUCGAUGGGAAACAGGUUAAUAUUCCUGUACUUGGUGUUACUGCGAAGGGGGGACGGAGAAGGCUAUGUUGGCCGGGCGACGGUUGUCCCGGUUUAAGCGUGUAGGUGUGUGUUCCAGGUAAAUCCGGUUCACUUUAACACUGAGGCGUGAUGACGAGGCACUACGGUGCUGAAGUGACAAAUGCCCUGCUUCCAGGAAAAGCCUCUAAGCAUCAGGUAACACGAAAUCGUACCCCAAACCGACACAGGUGGUCAGGUAGAGAAUACCAAGGCGCUUGAGAGAACUCGGGUGAAGGAACUAGGCAAAAUGGUGCCGUAACUUCGGGAGAAGGCACGCUGAUAUGUAGGUGAAGUGAUUUACUCAUGGAGCUGAAAUCAGUCGAAGAUACCAGCUGGCUGCAACUGUUUAUUAAAAACACAGCACUGUGCAAACACGAAAGUGGACGUAUACGGUGUGACGCCUGCCCGGUGCCGGAAGGUUAAUUGAUGGGGUUAUCCGUAAGGAGAAGCUCUUGAUCGAAGCCCCGGUAAACGGCGGCCGUAACUAUAACGGUCCUAAGGUAGCGAAAUUCCUUGUCGGGUAAGUUCCGACCUGCACGAAUGGCGUAAUGAUGGCCAGGCUGUCUCCACCCGAGACUCAGUGAAAUUGAACUCGCUGUGAAGAUGCAGUGUACCCGCGGCAAGACGGAAAGACCCCGUGAACCUUUACUAUAGCUUGACACUGAACACUGGUCCUUGAUGUGUAGGAUAGGUGGGAGGCUUUGAAGUGUGGACGCCAGUCUGCAUGGAGCCAUCCUUGAAAUACCACCCUUUAAUGGCUGGUGUUCUAACGUGGGCCCGUAAUCCGGGUUGCGGACAGUGUCUGGUGGGUAGUUUGACUGGGGCGGUCUCCUCCCAAAGAGUAACGGAGGAGCACGAAGGUUAGCUAAUCCUGGUCGGACAUCAGGAGGUUAGUGCAAAGGCAUAAGCUAGCUUGACUGCGAGAGUGACGGCUCGAGCAGGUGCGAAAGCAGGUCUUAGUGAUCCGGUGGUUCUGAAUGGAAGGGCCAUCGCUCAACGGAUAAAAGGUACUCCGGGGAUAACAGGCUGAUACCGCCCAAGAGUUCAUAUCGACGGCGGUGUUUGGCACCUCGAUGUCGGCUCAUCACAUCCUGGGGCUGAAGUAGGUCCCAAGGGUAUGGCUGUUCGCCAUUUAAAGUGGUACGCGAGCUGGGUUUAGAACGUCGUGAGACAGUUCGGUCCCUAUCUGCCGUGGGCGCUGGAGAAUUGAGGGGGGCUGCUCCUAGUACGAGAGGACCGGAGUGGACGCAUCACUGGUGUUCGGGUUGUCAUGCCAAUGGCACUGCCCGGUAGCUAAAUGCGGAAAAGAUAAGUGCUGAAAGCAUCUAAGCACGAAACUUGCCCCGAGAUGAGUUCUCCCUGAGACUUUAAGUCUCCUGAAGGAACGUUGAAGACGACGACGUUGAUAGGUCGGGUGUGUAAGUGUAGCGAUACAUUGAGCUAACCGAUACUAAUGAACCGUGAGGCUUAACCUU
rnacentral:rRNA from 1 species